rnacentral:tRNA from 1 species
GGUGGCUCAGUGGUAGAGUGCUUGCCUGGCAUGCAUGAAGCCCUGGGUUCCAUUCCUCAGCACCA